rnacentral:rRNA from 1 species
UGGCAGGUCAGCAUACUGCCGUGAAUACGUUCCCGGGCCUUGUACACACCGCCCGUCACACCAUGAGAGUUGGGAAUACCCGAAGCCUGUGAGCUAACAUUAAGAGGCAGCAGUCGAAGGUAGAAUCAAUGAUUGGGGUGAAGUCGUAACAAGGUAGC